rnacentral:tRNA from 1 species
GAGGGUAUAGCUCAGUGGUAGAGUGCGUGCAUAGCAUGCACCAACGUCCUAGGUUCAAUCCCCAGUACCUCG